rnacentral:rRNA from 1 species
GCAGCCGAACGGUGAUAGCAAUAUCAUAGUGGGCGCACGGGUGCGUAACACGUAUGCAACCUACCUUAUACUGAGGGAUAGCCUUUCGAAAGGGAGAUUAAUACCUCAUAACACAUUGAACUGGCAUCAGUUUAUUGUUAAAGAUUUAUUGGUAUAAGAUGGGCAUGCGUCCAAUUAGUUAGUUGGCGAGGUAACGGCUCACCAAGACGAUGAUUGGUAGGGGAACUGAGAGGUUAAUCCCCCACACUGGCACUGAGAUACGGGCCAGACUCCUACGGGAGGCAGCAGUAGGGAAUAUUGGGCAAUGGAGGCAACUCUGACCCAGCCAUGCCGCGUGCAGGAAGAAGGCGUUAUGCGUUGUAAACUGCUUUUAUAUAGGAAGAAAUAGACCUUGCGAGGUAAGUUGACGGUACUAUAUGAAUAAGCACCGGCUAACUCCGUGCCAGCAGCCGCGGUAAUACGGAGGGUGCAAGCGUUGUCCGGAUUUAUUGGGUUUAAAGGGUGCGUAGGCGGUUUAUUAAGUCAGUGGUGAAAGACGGUCGCUCAACGAUUGCAGUGCCAUUGAUACUGGUAGACUUGAGUGGGAUUGAGGUAGCUGGAAUGGAUAGUGUAGCGGUGAAAUGCAUAGAUAUUAUCCAGAACACCAAUUGCGUAGGCAAGUUACUAAGUCUCAACUGACGCUGAGGCACGAAAGUGUGGGUAUCAAACAGGAUUAGAUACCCUGGUAGUCCACACUGUAAACGAUGAUAA